UCCUCCAACAAGGCCAGAACUCACUAACA
rnacentral:piRNA from 1 species